GAUGAACGCUAGCGGCAGGCCUAACACAUGCAAGUCGAGGGGCAGCACGUCUUCGGAUGGUGGCGACCGGCGCACGGGUGCGUAACGCGUAUAGAACCUACCUUUUACAGGGGAAUAGCCCAGAGAAAUUUGGAUUAAUGCCCCAUAGUAUUAUUAGAUGGCAUCAUUUGAUAAUUAAACAUUUAUGGGUAAAAGAUGGCUAUGCGUUCUAUUAGCUAGAUGGUAAGGUAACGGCUUACCAUGGCGACGAUAGAUAGGGGUCCUGAGAGGGAGAUCCCCCACACUGGUACUGAGACACGGACCAGACUCCUACGGGAGGCAGCAGUGAGGAAUAUUGGACAAUGGGCGAGAGCCUGAUCCAGCCAUGCCGCGUGCAGGAAGACGGUCCUAUGGAUUGUAAACUGCUUUUAUACAGGAAGAAACACUCCCUCGUGAGGGAAUUUGACGGUACUGUAUGAAUAAGCACCGGCUAACUCCGUGCCAGCAG
rnacentral:rRNA from 1 species